AAAAUAUGAGGUGCUCUACUUAUAAAGUGAUCAAAUAAUGGGUUGUUUAUUACAUACAAAAUUAACCAAACAAAAUAUGGGAGGAAUAAUAAAAAUUGUGUAUGCUUUUGUCAUCUUUAUUUCCCUAAUUCUUAUUGUAACUAGUAACGUUCACAGUUUACUCCCCUGCGGAACUGAUGAUGAUUGUGCAAAUGAUCCAUGUAUUCAUCCCGAAUAUCCACAUUGUCAUAUGGAACAAUGUCAUUGCGUUUAAGCAUGAAAAUUAAGUUAAAAUAAAUUUCAUGUUACUUCUAAUUAGUUUAUAAUUUAUCAUGGGCAUCACAAUGUUUUUCCAAAUUUAAAAAUUUCUCGCAUUUUAAUUUAUACUUCUGUGACCUUUCUUAUUUGAAAAGAUUAUGCUUCUAGGACCUUGUUCUCAAAAGCGUGAUGCAACUAUAUUAUAAUACAAGUAUUUUUUUUUUUAAAGAAUUAUUAUGCAAGUAUUGUUACCUUUGUUUGCUCGUAAUAGAUAUCAAUAACACCAACUUCAUUGAAAUUUUUAAUUAGUUAAUUUAAUGAAUAAAGACAAAAUUUGAUUUAGUAUAAUAAUAACGUAUUGUUCUUUCAAUUUUAGUGUAGUGAAUGAUAUAAAAUAAAUAAAUAACAAUAUAAAUUUUAAAUGAACUCAUUAAAAUUAAAUACAUAUGAAUAUUGUAAACAAUUUAUGGUUACAUUGGUAUUCUUGGACUAAAAGAACACAUAAGGGAAAAUUCAUUCCAUUUUAAAUAGUAAUAAUUGGGUUUGAGUCAUGUAUUUUGUAUCCACUUAAAUAAUAAGCACUAUACUAGUUGAUUUUUUAUUUUAUUUUUACUUAAAUUGUGAACUCUGAUUAGUCUGUAAUUGGGUAUUUCCACACAAUGCUUUUAUUUAAUAGAUAUUCAAGAGACAAUAUAAUCGUAAAUUACAGAUUCAUAAUUAACUAGUUGACAUGUAAAAGACCAUUGUUUAAUAUAUAUGUUGCUUGUUUGGGCACAUUGUAAACUCUUAUUUGUACGUAGAUAAAAACAUUAUAAAAACCUAGAUGCUUAUAUAUCCGUAAUUAGAUAAAAACAUCAUAAAAACCAUUGAUAAGUGUCAAAUGAAUAUUAUUUUAUCUAUGUAACUCAUGACACUUAUUGAAUUGUUUUGCAAGAAACAUUAUAAAAACUAAAAUAAUUGCAAAUAUUAUAGUACCAAGAUUAUAUUAGUAUUGUUUGCACUUUAACUAUUUUUUCCAACACAGUGUAUGUCUAAUAGAAGAAGAAUGAAAGUUACAAGCAUUGAACUCAAAAGAAGAAAAUCAUGGCCAUCCCCUAGCGAGCCAAACACUCGCCCAACAAAGCAAGUCACACACCAAAGGCAUAAAAGGUGAAUUCGUCCAUCGAAGCACAUGGUUUGCAUGGCGAAAAACAUGAACAGAGAUGAUCACCCAUUAUCAGUUCUAUAUCAAGAUCUAUGAAGGGCGAUAGGUGAAUGUAUAAUUGAAAUAAGAGGAGUUUAUAGCCCGAUUAAGUGUUUACUUUUCUUUUCAGCCAUUAAAAGUUUAUACAUAAAUUAGAUUUAGUGUUUACUUUUCUUUUCUUUUAUAAUUUAUUUUUUUCUUUUAUAACUUUAAUUUUUAUUAGAGAUAUAGUUUACUUACAAGUAGUAUUAGUCCUAUAGUAGUAUAUAUAGUUGUAACCACCUCAUUAGUGGGACAAUUCACGUAAUAUCACUCUUUAGUCUUUACUAUCAA